rnacentral:rRNA from 1 species
UUCGUAGGGGGCAAGCGUUGUCCGGAAUCAUUGGGCGUAAAGAGCGUGUAGGCGGUCCGGUAAGUCGGCUGUGAAAGUCCAGGGCUCAACCCUGGGAUGCCGGUCGAUACUGCCGGACUAGAGUUCGGAAGAGGCGAGUGGAAUUCCCGGUGUAGCGGUGAAAUGCGCAGAUAUCGGGAGGAACACCUAUGGCGAAGGCAGCUCGCUGGGACGUUACUGACGCUGAGACGCGAAAGCGUGGGGAGCAAACAGG